AUCGCGUGAGUAGUGAGCGAGUCACUUCCUGUAUUAGAGUGUGUUGAAUUUUCAUGCGACUUACUCAAAUGUGUGCAUCUGUCAGCCAGAGGUGAACAUGGCUGAAGUCUCGGAGAGGACACUACAAGUCGCCGUCGUGGUGUCUUUUGCCGCCGGCUUCGUAGCGGGGUGGCAAGCUAACAGAAUGAGGAGAAAGUUUCUGGACUGGAGGAAGAAACGGCUGCAAGAUAAACUGUCCGAAACUCAGAAGAAGCUGGAUUUGGCUUGAACGGUCUGGGGUUGUCUGGUAUUCUCUGUAAAGCUGCUGGAUCCUGGAUGUGCUACACGUCUGUCACAGUGGUGAAGUGACAUCAAAAUGAACUACCUGUGUUCUGACACUACUCACAUUUUCUCAUCCCACCUUUUUAAAUCAAGACUGGACUUGGGAAUACAAUCAUUACCUACGAACCGCAGCUUCUUUUCUCCCCUCGGACACUAGUCUAGCAUUGCCAGACACAUCUCCACAGCCCUGUGUCAGUGCUCGAGUAUUGUCUGGCUACAGUGAUUUUUUUCAAACCAAUUAACUAUCCUGGGCUGCACUAACUAAAGCCCCUGAUGCAGAGACCAUGCCCUUGCUAAAUAGAUAGAAGAAGUGAAGGCUAUAUCCCAGCAAUGUACAUCCAGUGAGCCAGACUACUCAAGACACAACAGGGAAGAAAUCUGGGAUCUGGUUUUAGUGGUUUUCCUUUAUAGCAUGUCUCAGUUUCUAUCUGUUUCAUAUCUGGUCCAAAUAAAUUAUUGUGUUUUUCAUGUUUCUCUAACUAUGUUGUUUAUUUGGAAAGCUGGUAUUCCACAUUAAGGUGACAGCUUUCAGGGAUAAAGGUUGUCAUUUGUUUGGCUUUUGUCACUGUCAUUUUCCUAAAACCUACUGCAACGUCGUCAUAAUUGUCACACAUUAAAUGUUACUCACCGGUGACAUGGCCAAAAGAGCUUUUAAUGUAUGAAAUCCUUUAAAUAAAAUGAAUUUCCAGAA